ensembl:lncRNA
AUGAUUGUCGUUUCACACCAUGUGUCUCAGCAAUGUCCUGCAGGUGUCACACAAGGAAGUGAAUGCUGCUUUAGUCAGUGUGAAGGGUUUCAGCAUCCUGAGGAGGAGCAUACAGAGAAAUCUGAAACCACAAACAAGAGCAACUUUGAACACCCUCUGUACAAACCCCAAAACCUCUAUAAGCAGUUGAGGAGGGAGCACAGACUGUUACUGGACGUGAUGCUGGUUCUGUACAGAAGAGAGUGGUUUCUGCAGGAUGCCAUACCAUACGUCAGACGUACACUCAGGAAGUGUGGACUGAGGCCUGAGGAUUUAGACUAAAGACUGUUCUUGCGUGUGAGUGAAUGAAGAAGGUGUCACUGGGGCCACAUCCUAUGGUACAAAAGCUAAAAGUUAGGUCUUUGUACCUUAUUUACCCCUAAAUGCCACAUAUUAAUACCUUAAAGGUACAUAUCAGUACUUUUAAGUACAUAUUAGUUCCUAAAUUGUACAUACUAGUAAUUUUUGAAAGGUUAUCGCCCCAAUCUAUCUUUUUUUUUUUUUUUUGAGAGUGUACAGUACAGUGAAUGUAUGAAGAAGCAUUCAAGAUUUAAAGCACUGUAAAAUUAUCAUAAAAGCUGUAUAAACAGCUUUAUGUGAGUAACAGACCAACAUUUACUGAAAAUAUUGGCAUCCUCCCAUGGGAGAUGAUGAGAGUUCAUGAGGCAAAGUGUUCGAUUUAUGAAUGAAUUGUUCUUAUGAUUCAGUUAUCACAGCAGUUAACUGAAAAUUACUGAAAUAUUACCAGUAAAUUACUUAAAUCUUAGUCUGUUUCUCACACUAAGUUAUCGUAUGACUUCAGCAGAGUUUGAAUAUAGUGCAUGAGUCAUAUGGACUACUUUUUAUGAUACUUUAAUGAUGCUUUUCCAUCUUUUUUUGAAGAUUAAAGGCUUCAUUCCCUAUUGCAAUUGCAUGCAAAAGAAGGACCAGCACAAUAUAUGUUCAUGUUCUAUAGAAGAAACAAAGUCAUCGCAGGUUAGGAACAACAUGACAGUGAGGAAAUGAUGCUUUUGGGUGAACUAUUUCUCUAAGUUUAAAACUGAUGUGAUGAUAUAUUUAACUUAACUAAGGGAACAAUAAAGAAAAAACACUGCUAACA